CCCCACUGCUAUCGGGAUGGGACUAAGACAUGCUAGUCGUGCGUCUCCAAGCCAUGGCGGAGACGCGGCGCACAGCUCAGUAACACGUGGCUAACCUGCCCUUAGGACGGGGACAACCCCGGGAAACUGGGGCUAAUCCCUGAUAGGUGAGGGUUCCUGGAAUGGGCCCUCGCCGAAAGGGCGCCUAGACCAUGCUUCUAGGCGCUGCCCAAGGAUGGAGCCGCGGCCGAUCAGGUUGUUGGUGAGGCAACGGCUCACCAAGCCUUUAACCGGUACGGGCCGUGAGAGCGGGAGCCCGGAGAUGGGUACUGAGACAAGGACCCAGGCCCUACGGGGCGCAGCAGUCGCGAAAACUCCGCAAUACGCGAAAGCGUGACGGGGCUAUCCCGAGUGCCGUCCGCUGAGGAUGGCUUUUCCCUAGUGUAUAAAGCUGGGGGAAUAAGGAGAGGGCAAGCCUGGUGUCAGCCGCCGCGGUAAUACCAGCUCUCCGAGUGGUGGGGAUGCUUAUUGGGCCUAAAGCAUUCGUAGCCGGUUGGGCAAGUCCUCCGUUAAAUCCAGCGAUUCAAUCGUUGGACUGCGGGGGAUACUGCCCGGCUUGGGGGCGGAAGAGGCCGACGGUAUUCUCGGGGUAGGGGUGAAAUCCUAUAAUCCCGGGAGGACCACCAGUGGCGAAGGCUGUCGGCUAGAACGCGCCCGACGGUGAGGGAUGAAAGCUGGGGGAGCGAACCGGAUUAGAUACCCGGGUAGUCCCAGCUGUAAACGAUGCAGGCUAGGUGUUGGCGCGGCUACGUGCCGCUCCAGUGCCGCAAGGAAGCCGUUAAGCCUGCCGCCUGGGAAGUACGACCGCAAGGCUGAAACUUAAAGGAAUUGGCGGGGGAGCACCACAAGGGGUGAAGCUUGCGGUUU
rnacentral:rRNA from 1 species